ensembl:lncRNA
CUGACAAGUGACUGUGGUGCAGGCCGAAAGCUUACCAUGUGUGCCUGGCAGGAGGAAAGGGCAGCUGCCGGGCACGGAUCAGCCAGCCAGCUGAGGAAAAGCCUCAAGGCCAUGGCAAGGAAAGAGGCAAGGGCACCCAGGAGGCGAGAAGCCAUCUGAGCCAUUCAGAAGGAAACCAAAAGAGAAGGCAAGGGAAGCAAAGUAAAGUCAUUCAAAAAAUCCACAGAAAAAUAACAAAAAGAAAGAAAGUAAAAAAAAAUCCCAACCCAAAUGGAAAACCAAAUGAAGAAAAAGCAAAGCAAAACAACAAAUGGAAUACAAAGAGAAAGCAAAAAGAAGUCAGCAAAGGAAAGAUAAAAAUGAAGGAUCAGGAGGGCUAAUAGCAGGUAAGUAAAGGCGAGGUAAGGGGAAGGGGGCAGGGAAGGGGGGCAGGGAAGGGGGGCAGGGAAGGGGGCAGGGAAGGGGGGCAGGGAAGGGGGGCAGGGAAGGGGGGCAGGGAAGGGAAAAAUGUAAAGGAUGAAAAAGAGAAUCACAAAGGAAUGCAAAGAGAACUAGCUUGAAUAGGGCAGGAAUGGAAAAGAAACAACAAAAGGAAAAAAAAACAGUGGAAGGAAAAUAGAAAGGAGCAGUAAAGAAAAACAAAAUGGAAAGGGGAAAAGAAAAGAAGCAAAACUAGAAGGCAUAGCAAAGCAAUGAAAUACCGAGGAAAAGAAAAAACAGAAUGCCGUAUCAUGGCAAAGCAAAGGACUCAAAGAAAUUCAACAAGAAAAAAACACCAUCCAAAAUUGUUCAAAGAAAAAACAAAAUGACCAUAAGGAUACAAGCAAAGCCACCGACAGAAAAGCAAACAAGCAAAGAAGAAAGGAAACCAAAGCAAAGCGAGAAAACCAUGAAGCCAUGCAAAAUGCAAAGCAAAGGGGAAAAAAAAAAAAAAGCAAAACUAGAAGGCAUAGCAAAGCAAUGAAAUACCGAGGAAAAGAAAAAACAGAA